rnacentral:rRNA from 1 species
GGCGGCGCGCUUACACAUGCAAGUCGAGCGAGAAAGUGGAGCAAUCCAUGAGUAAAGCGGCGUACGGGUGAGUAACACGUGGAUCAUCUACCUUUUAGUGUGGAAUAACCCUGGGAAACCGGGGCUAAUACCGCAUAAGCCUGUUGAAGGGAAAGCAGCAAUGCGCUGGAAGAGGAGUCCGCGGCCGAUUAGCUAGUUGGUGAGGUAACGGCCCACCAAGGCGAUGAUCGGUAGCCGGCCUGAGAGGGCACACGGCCACACUGGCACUGAAACACGGGCCAGACUCCUACGGGAGGCAGCAGUGGGGAAUCUUGCACAAUGGAGGCAACUCUGAUGCAGCGACGCCGCGUGAGCGAUGAAGCCCUUCGGGGUGUAAAGCUCUUUCGGCAGGGACGAUAAUGACGGUACCUGAAGAAGAAGCUGCGGCUAACUGCGUGCCAGCAGCCGCGGUAAUACGUAGGCAGCAAGCGUUGUUCGGAAUUACUGGGCGUAAAGAGUGUGUANGCGGUGCUCUAAGUUCGGUGUGAAAUCUCCUGGCUUAACUGGGA